UAAUACGUAGGGGGCAAGCGUUGUCCGGAUUCAUUGGGCGUAAAGAGCUCGUAGGCGGCUUGGCAAGUCGGGUGUGAAACCUCCAGGCUCAACCUGGAGACGCCACCCGAUACUGCCAUGGCUAGAGUCCGGUAGGGGACCACGGAAUUCCUGGUGUAGCGGUGAAAUGCGCAGAUAUCAGGAGGAACACCGGUGGCGAAGGCGGUGGUCUGGGCCGGAACUGACGCUGAGGAGCGAAAGCGUGGGGAGCGAACAGGAUUAGAUACCCUGGUAGUCCACGCCGUAAACGUUGGGCACUAGGUGUGGGGGGUUAUCAACGCCUUCCGUGCCGAAGCUAACGCAUUAAGUGCCCCGCCUGGGGAGUACGGCCGCAAGGCUA
rnacentral:rRNA from 1 species